CCUACGGGGGGCAGCAGUGGGGAAUAUUGCGCAAUGGGCGAAAGCCUGACGCAGCGACGCCGCGUGAGGGAUGAAGGUCUUCGGAUCGUAAACCUCUGUCAGCAGGGAAGCACGGUCACUGUGCUAAUCAGCAGUGAAUUGACGGUACCUGCAAAGGUAGCACCGGCUAACUCCGUGCCAGCAGCUGCGGUAAUACGGAGGGUGCGAGCGUUAAUCGGUAUUACUGGGGGUAAACCGCGCGUAGGCGGUAUGUCAAGUCAAGGGUGAAAUUGCCGCGCUUAACGGGGGAACUGCCUUUGAAACUGGCAACCUGGAGUGUGUGCGAGGUGAGUGGAAUUCCGGGUGUAGGAGUGAAAUCCGUAGAUAUCUGGAGGAACAUCAGUGGCGAAGGCGACUAUCUGGCACAUAACUGACGCUGAGGAGCGAAAGCGUGGGUAGCAAACAGGAUUAGAUACCCUAGUAGUC
rnacentral:rRNA from 1 species